rnacentral:rRNA from 1 species
UACCGAGGGUGCAAGCGUUAAUCGGAAUUACUGGGCGUAAAGCGUGCGUAGACGGUUAUGUAAGUCGGGCGUGAAAGCCCCGGGCUCAACCUGGGAAUUGCAUUCGAGACUGUGUAGCUAGGGUACGGAAGAGGGAAGCGGAAUUUCAGGUGUAGCGGUGAAAUGCGUAGAUAUCUGAAGGAACACCAGUGGCGAAAGCGGCUUCCUGGUCCAGUACCGACGUUCAGGCACGAAAGCGUGGGGAGCAAACAGG